rnacentral:tRNA from 1 species
AGAACAUGGCUGAGACAGUUAAGCAUCUCCCUUACACCGAGAAGAUAUCCAUGCAAGUUGGAUUGUUCUGA